CCUACGGGAGGCAGCAGUGAGGAAUAUUGGUCAAUGGACGAGAGUCUGAACCAGCCAAGUAGCGUGAAGGAUGACUGCCCUAUGGGUUGUAAACUUCUUUUAUGAAGGAAUAAAACGAGGCACGUGUGCCUUUUUGCAUGUACUUUAUGAAUAAGGAUCGGCUAACUCCGUGCCAGCAGCCGCGGUAAUACGGUGGAUACGAGCGUUAUCCGGAUUUGUUGGGUUUAAGGGGAGCGUAGAUGGGUUGUUAAGUCAGGUGUGAAAGGUUGCGGCUCAACCGUAAAAUUGCAAUUGAUACUGGCAGUCUUGAGUACAGUGGAGGUAGGCGGAAUUCGUGGUGUAGCGGUGAAAUGCUUAGAGAUCACGAAGAACCCCGAUUGCGAAGGCAGCUUACUAAACUGUGACUGACAUUGAUGCUCGAAAGUGUGGGUAGCAAACAGGAUUAGAUACCCUUGUAGUC
rnacentral:rRNA from 1 species